rnacentral:rRNA from 1 species
AACGAACGCUGGCGGCAUGCCUAACACAUGCAAGUCGAACGAGACCUUCGGGUCUAGUGGCGCACGGGUGCGUAACGCGUGGGAACCUGCCCUUAGGUUCGGAAUAACUCCCCGAAAGGGGUGCUAAUACCGGAUAAUGUCUUCGGACCAAAGAUUUAUCGCCUUUGGAUGGGCCCGCGUUGGUUUAGCUAGUUGGUAGGGUAAAAGCCUACCAAGGCGACGAACCAUAGCUGGUCUGAGAGGAUGAUCAGCCACACUGGGACUGAGACACGGCCCAGACUCCUACGGGAGGCAGCAGUGGGGAAUAUUGGACAAUGGGCGAAAGACUGAUCCAGCAAGGCCGCGAGAGUGAUGAAGGCCUUAGAGUAGUAAAGCUCUUUUACCCGGGAUGAUAAUGACAGUACCGGGAGAAUAAGCUCCGGCUAACUCCGUG